rnacentral:rRNA from 1 species
UACGGAGGAUCCGAGCGUUAUCCGGAUUUACUGGGUGUAAAGGGAGCGUAGACGGCAAAGCAAGUCUGAAGUGAAAGGUCGGGGCUUAACCCCGGAACUGCUUUGGAAACUGUUAUGCUAGAGUGCUGGAGAGGUAAGUGGAAUUCCUAGUGUAGCGGUGAAAUGCGUAGAUAUUAGGAGGAACACCAGUGGCGAAGGCGGCUUACUGGACAGUAACUGACGUUGAGGCUCGAAAGCGUGGGGAGCAA